GAUGAAGAACGCAGCGAAACGCGAAAGGUAAUGCGAAUUGCAGAAUUCAGUGAAUCAUCGAGUCUUUGAACGCACAUUGCGCCCCCUGGUAUUCCGGGGGGCAUGCCUGUCCGAGCGUCAUUGCUGCCCUCAAGCACGGCUUGUGUGUUGGGCCCCCGCCCCCCGGUUCCCGGGGGGCGGGCCCGAAAGGCAGCGGCGGCACCGCGUCCGGUCCUCGAGCGUAUGGGGCUUCGUCACCCGCUCCGUAGGCCCGGCCGGCGCCCGCCGGCGACCCCCCCUCAAUCUUUCCAGGUUGACCUCGGAUCAGGUAGGGAUACCCGCUGAACUUAAGCAUAUCAAUAAGCGGAGGA
rnacentral:misc_RNA from 1 species